CUACGGGAGGCUGCAGUGGGGAAUAUUGCACAAUGGGCGCAAGCCUGAUGCAGCAACGCCGCGUGAGGGAUGAAGGCCUUCGGGUUGUAAACCUCUUUUAGCAGGGAAGAAGCGAAAGUGACGGUACCUGCAGAAAAAGCACCGGCUAACUACGUGCCAGCAGCCGCGGUAAUACGUAGGGUGCAAGCGUUGUCCGGAACUAUUGGGCGUAAAGAGCUCGUAGGCGGUUUGUCACGUCUGCUGUGAAAAUCCAAGGCUCAACCUUGGACUUGCAGUGGGUACGGGCAGGCUAGAGUGCGGUAGGGGAGAUGGGAAUUCCUGGUGUAGCGGUGGAAUGCGCAGAUAUCAGGAGGAACACCAAUGGCGAAGGCACAUCUCUGGGCCGUAACUGACGCUGAGGAGCGAAAGCGUGGGGAGCAAACAGGAUUAGAUACCCCGGUAGUC
rnacentral:rRNA from 1 species